rnacentral:rRNA from 1 species
UACGUAGGGGGCUAGCGUUGUCCGGAAUCAUUGGGCGUAAAGCGCGUGUAGGCGGCCCGAUAAGUCCGCUGUGAAAGUCCAGGGCUCAACCCUGGAAUGCCGGUGGAUACUGUCGGGCUCGAGUCCGGAAGAGGCGAGUGGAAUUCCGUGGUGUAGCGGUGAAAUGCGCAGAUAUCAGGAGGAACACCGAUGGCGAAGGCAGCUCGCUGGGACGGUACUGACGCUGAGACGCGAAAGCGUGGGAGCAAACAGG